UUGCGUAGGCGGUAAGUCAAGUGAAUAGUGAAACCUGGUGGCUCAACCAUACAGACUAUUAUUCAAACUGGCUUACUCGAGAGUGGUAGAGGUCACUGGAAUUUCUUGUGUAGGAGUGAAAUCCGUAGAUAUAAGAAGGAACACCGAUGGCGUAGGCAGGUGACUGGACCAUUUCUGACGCUAAGGCACGAAAGCGUGGGGAGCGAACC
rnacentral:rRNA from 1 species